AAGGUUUCCAGGGGAAGGUUCGUCCGCCCUGGGUUAGUCGGGACCUAAGCUGAGGCCGAAAGGCGUAGGUGAUGGACAACAGGUUGAUAUUCCUGUACUACCGAUAACCGUUUGAGAGAUGGUAUGACACAGUAGGAUAAGCUAAGCACACUGUUGGUUAUGUGUGCCCAAGCAUUGAGGCAGUCAGAGUAGGUAAAUCCGCUUUGAUAAUGCUGGGAUGUGAUGGGGAGCGAAAUUUAGUAGCGAAGUA
rnacentral:rRNA from 1 species